ACGCAUGUCUUCAAGCUCAUAGAGGGAGUUCUUCUCCCUUCGAAGAAUCCUGAGAACUGUGUAAAGCUGUUGGGCACCUUGAGGCAUAAUUCUAGCCAUGCAGGAUGCUCUGUCAAGGAAUAGACCAAUUUAGCCCUGAUCGUGUGGAAUGAACAGGUUUGAAUGGUCGCUCUCGAGGACUCACUCUGGAUGCCACCUCCAGGGCUCCCAGAGCCCCUCACCCAAUCCCUAGACCGGAGCCAUGCGGCGGGAUUGCGGGACCGUGCAGCUCUGCCACCUCCUUGGGGAGGGAACGCAGUGUGGACUCCUUGGCCACAGCAGCAGGACCAGGAGCCUCCUGGUGAGGCGGGUGGGCCUCAGCUUUGCUUCCUGCCACUUGGCCUGAGGGCCGAAUAUUAAAACUUCCGUGUGGCUUUCUCUGGUCCUGGUGUCCUUGGUGUAUGCACAGAGCCUUGCAAAGCAGAACCCUCAUGGGCACAGAGCUGCUUCCGCCAGUGCUGCCUUCACUCAACUGCAGUUGGAUGGUUUUGUUCAGGGGCACCAAGCUUUUGCCUAUGAAAUAGGGGGACAUUUAUUAAAAUGCCCGAGGCUUCAAGCAGCUGUCUGAGAUGCCUGCACUCAGUCUCCCACACCUGUCCCGCGAGGACCCCCUGGCCUGCCUGGCGGGUAGCGCCUCUGACCACAGGGCCAGCAGAGCCCAACACCUACGAAUCCAGCGGGGAGAAGCAGAUUCCAGGAUCCCCUGGAGGUUCUAAAAACCGGAACCAGCCAUGCUCAGUUUAAGCAACACUGUUUUCUCGGGAUCCUCACUUAUUUCCUCAUUCAAUUAAAUAUUUAUUGUUUGCUCCACUGCGGGCAUGUCUACUCUUUUUCUUGUAUCACAUUGGGAAGCCACGCACACAUAUCCGUGGCAGGUGCCUGCGUGCAGAGA